rnacentral:rRNA from 1 species
AAUGAACGCUGGCGGCAGGCCUAACACAUGCAAGUCGAACGCACCUUUCGGGGUGAGUGGCGGACGGGUGAGUAACGCGUGGGAAUAUGCCCUUUGGUACGGAAUAGUCCUGGGGAAACUGGGGGUAAUACCGUAUGUGCCCUUCGGGGAAAGGAUUAUCGCCAAGGAUUAGCCGCGUUGGAUUAGGUAGUUGGUGGGGUAAGUGGCCUACCAAGCCGACGAUCCAUAGCUGGUUUGAGAGGAUGAUCAGCCACACUGGGACGUGAGACACGGCCCACGACUCCUACGGGAGGGCAGCAGUGGGGAAGUCUUAGACAAU